CAGGACGAACGCUGGCGGCGUGCUUAACACAUGCAAGUCGAACGAUGAAGCCCUUCGGGGUGGAUUAGUGGCGAACGGGUGAGUAACACGUGGGCAAUCUGCCCUUCACUCUGGGACAAGCCCUGGAAACGGGGUCUAAUACCGGAUAAUACUUUCCUCCUCCUGGAGGAAGGUUGAAAGCUCCGGCGGUGAAGGAUGAGCCCGCGGCCUAUCAGCUAGUUGGUGGGGUAAUGGCCUACCAAGGCGACGACGGGUAGCCGGCCUGAGAGGGCGACCGGCCACACUGGGACUGAGACACGGCCCAGACUCCUACGGGAGGCAGCAGUGGGGAAUAUUGCACAAUGGGCGAAAGCCUGAUGCAGCGACGCCGCGUGAGGGAUGACGGCCUUCGGGUUGUAAACCUCUUUCAGCAGGGAAGAAGCGAAAGUGACGGUACCUGCAGAAGAAGCGCCGGCUAACUACGUGCCAGCAGCCGCGGUAAUACGUAGGGCGCAAGCGUUGUCCGGAAUUAUUGGGCGUAAAGAGCUCGUAGGCGGCUUGUCACGUCGGUUGUGAAAGCCCGGGGCUUAACCCCGGGUCUGCAGUCGAUACGGGCAGGCUAGAGUGUGGUAGGGGAGAUCGGAAUUCCUGGUGUAGCGGUGAAAUGCGCAGAUAUCAGGAGGAACACCGGUGGCGAAGGCGGAUCUCUGGGCCAUUACUGACGCUGAGGAGCGAAAGCGUGGGGAGCGAACAGGAUUAGAUACCCUGGUAGUCCACGCCGUAAACGUUNNGGGNUAGGUGUUGGCGACAUUCCACGUCGUCGGUGCCGCAGCUAACGCAU
rnacentral:rRNA from 1 species